GUGCUCGCUUCGGCAGCACAUAUACUAAAAUUAAAACGAUACACAGAGGAUUAACGUGGCCCUGAGCAAGCUGCUGCUGCUGCUGCUGCUAAGUCUCUUCAGUCGUGUCUGAGUCUGUGCGACCCCAUAGACGGCAGCCCACCAGGCUCCCCCGUCCCUGGGGUUCUCCAGGCAAGAACAUUGGAGUGGGUGGCCCUGAGCAAGAGUGACGCGAAAGUUUGUGAAGCAUUCCACGUUUUU
rnacentral:snRNA from 1 species